rnacentral:rRNA from 1 species
UACGUAGGGGGCUAGCGUUGUCCGGAAUCAUUGGGCGUAAAGCGCGUGUAGGCGGCCCGGUAAGUCCGCUGUGAAAGUCCAGGGCUCAACCCUGGAAUGCCGGUGGAAACUGGCGGGCUAGAGUCCGGAAGAGGCGAGUGGAAUUCCUGGUGUAGCGGUGAAAUGCGCAGAUAUCAGGAGGAACACCAAUUGCGAAGGCAGCUCGCUGGGACGUUACUGACGCUGAGACGCGAAAGCGUGGGGAGCAAACAGG